rnacentral:rRNA from 1 species
GACGUAGGGGGCGAGCGUUGUCCGGAUUUAUUGGGCGUAAAGCGCGCGCAGGCGGUUCGGAAAGUCGGAUGUGAAAAUCCGGGGCUCAACCCCGGACCUGCAUCCGAUACUCCCGGACUGGAGGCAGGUAGGGGAGAGCGGAAUUCCCGGUGUAGCGGUGAAAUGCGCAGAUAUCGGGAAGAACACCGGUGGCGAAGGCGGCUACUCUGGGCCUGUCCUGACGCUCAGGCGCGAAAGCUAGGGGAGCGAACAGG